rnacentral:misc_RNA from 1 species
GAAAUGCGAUAAUUAAUGUGAAUUGCAGAAUUCAGUGAAUCAUCGAGUCUUUGAACGCACAUUGCGCCCCCUGGUAUUCCGGGGGGCAUGCCUGUCCGAGCGUCAUUGCUGCCCUCAAGCACGGCUUGUGUGUUGGGCUUCCGUCCCUGGCAACGGGGACGGGCCCAAAAGGCAGUGGCGGCACCAUGUCUGGUCCUCGAGCGUAUGGGGCUUUGUCACCCGCUCCCGUAGGUCCAGCUGGCAUCUAGCCUCGCAACCAAUCUUUUUAACCAGGUUGACCUCGGAUCAGGUAGGGAUACCCGCUGAACUUAAGC